GUCACUUACUGAUUGAAUUAGAACACAAGGCACUGUGGGCACUCAUGUGACUAAACUUGAAUUGGAAUGAGGCAGCAAAAUUGCAACUGGGGCAACUGAAUGAGAUGGAAAAAUUCCGUCUAGGGGCUUAUGAAAGAUCAAAUUUAUACAAGGAAAAGAUGAAGAAGUAUCAUGAUUAGAGUAUCAAAAAGUGAGACUUCUAGAAGGGUGAUUGGGUACUCCUAUUUAAUUCUAGACUAAAGCUCUUUCCAGGUACACUUAAAUCAAAGUGGUCUGGCCCAUUCAAAGUUAACCAAGUCUACUCAUUUGGAGUAGUUGAACAUGAAAAUGGGGACGGAAGUGUCUUCAAGGUUAAUGGGAAAUGGGUGAAGCUGUAUCUCGGCCCAACGGACUCGGUAAAGUGCAUAUCUAUCACCUAUCUUGAUGAAGUCUGAAUACUCGAGAUAACUAUGUCAUGCCGCGACAAUAAAUCAGGAGCUAGUGGGAGGCAACCCACAAAGUGUUAUUGUAAGCAUAGUUAGAGUUUAUUUGUUAUUUUGUGCAAUUUGAUGUGUUGUGUGAGUAUGCAGGAAGAGAAGUGCAGCAAACCAGAAGCUGGAAAGGUUGAGACAUACCUGGCGGACAGAUUGGGCGAACCGUCAAACCUUUGAUGGAUCACCACUGGAACCGUCAGAAGGAAAGCAAAUAUCUGAAGUACUAGAGUGAGGCUGACGGAGCAUUCGGCAGAUCAUCGCAUCCUUGAUGGACCAUCGGGUCUACCGUCUCACCAAAGCAGAAGGACCAUAGUACUGCUAAGCUGCGGUGGAUAACCUAAUGGGUUGUCGGGUCGACCGUCGUAUUAACCCUUAAUAUGAAGGGUCGGGUCGGGAAAAAUCCGAUUCUUAAUAAAUUGCCCUUAUCCGACCCAAAGGUUUUAAUUUGAUAAAAGAAAAAGCAGUUAUAAACAUUGCCACCCCUUCAAAUUGUAAAACUGAUUAAAUUCCUUCCUAUUCACUGAAUCAAGGAUCAGUUAUUUCCUAAGACUCUUCUUCUCUCCCAUUCUACCCUAUUUAAACAACCCUCUUUUUCUCUUGUUCUCACCACAAAGUUAGUUGAGCCUUAGUAAGUUGGUAGCCAUAGUUAAGUAUGAAGUUUGCAAGUCAGAGUAGUGAAGUUACUGCAGAAUCAAGGUAAUAUGGCUUAAAAACUUCCCCUAACAAGAGACGAUGGUAGAGCUCAAUGGGGCAGAGGCAAGCCAGCAAGGAGUGAGGAGGCGCCUACCUUCAACACUUGGUAGUGAGAUAGGGUACUCCCAAUACUCUCCCAGUCUGAGAAAGAGGGUAAAAGUAACAACAGCAUACUAGUUCCACUCCCAAUAAGGAAAGGGUAGAUACCUUUAACCCUGACCAAGUCGAGGCUUUGGAACAAGAGGAUAUAAAUGUCAUAAGGCAUAAGGACCCGUAAGUUUGGGAAUUAAUUCAAUAACAAGUGGAAGGAGCAUGUAAGCAUUUCCUGUAUGGGUUGAAACCUACAUCUAGCAGACCAAUAAGAAGGCCCAUCCACGAAGAGUUUCAGAUUAUUAUUACUGAGUUGCACGAGUACCUUAAGUUGGAGCAGAGAUUCAACAAAUAUCAGUUGUCUUGGAUGAGUGUCCCACCUGGUACAUACCAACCAAACCUUUUUUGUAAAUUAUUUGCCAACUAUUUGGUGUUAUUGUAAAAAAAAUGCCCCAAGGGUACGAAGAUUUCUAAAUUAGAAAAUCCGGAUGUGGUUCCGGUGCAUGGAGUUAACAUAGACAUUUCAAAACGCACCUUGAAUCAGUUCCUGUUUGGUCCUGAGUAUGAGAUACCUAGUGCGAUCCCAGAUCUGGAGCAACGCAUGUUCACUACAACUCAAUAAACACCCUGGCUGGACCGAGUAUUGACAGAUAAUAAAAAUCCAGCGUGGCUGCAUAACCCUCAUGAGCGGAUAGCAAAGUCGUCCCUAAGCUUUAGAGCAAAAUUUUGGUGGGCCAUUGUCAGGUUAAGACUGAUGCCAACAGGUGGUGAGGCCAAUUUAGAGAUUCAGAGAGUUGUGAUGGUUGUUGCUUUGAUUGAGGGGCUAAAGAUAGAUUUUGGCCAUACUAUUGCAGGCGAGAUGUUUGCCCGGGUAUAUAAGACAUCCAAUGCUCUACCAUUUCCAUGCCUUAUUACAAAGUUGUGCAGGCGGGCAAAUGUCCCCUUGAUUAGUGAAGUUCAUAAUGAGGUCCGUGCGAGUUACCGAUAGGAUAUUGAGAAGAUGAAAGAUGAUUCAAAGUACGAAAUGUGAUUCAACAAGCCUCCCGCUUAUCAGACUUAGUCAGCUCUAGCUCCCGGGGCUUCGGAUGUCCCCUCAGGUAUACCAUUGUCUAUCCCUACCUAUGAACUACUGGAUUUUAUACCACAUACAACUUCUACAUGGUCAGCCUCCAUGCCACCAAUGGGAGAGACUGCCAAUUCUGCAUCUGUCCCUCCAUAAUAUUUGAAGUACAAGUUGACACAAAAAAUUUUUGCUAAGUUCGUAAAAUAAUAGAAAAAGUUCCAGAAGCAGCUUGACACAUGGGCUAUGCAAUUCAAGCCUUUUGUUAACCGCAUUGUAGUUGAAACAAUCCAUUCUUGUCAAAACAUUUAAAGAAGGAGGGACCAUAUGGAGGAAUGUGUCAACAAAAGGCUGAAUAUGAUAUCUAUUCCAUAUUUUGCUAAGUUGAUGGCAGAAUUCAGGCAAGCGCAGACAGACAUAGCAGAUCUAAAAAGGGCAACAACCACAGCAGCCCACUUUUGACCUUUCUUUGAUUAUCAGUGAUGAGGAUGAGGGCAUCAUAGACUUGAUGGGGAUGUCGCUCACAGACAAGGGUAAGCAGGUUGAUGAUAGUGAUGACCAUAAACCUGCUAAAAGAAGGAGGCGAGAAGCGAUGAAAUAGGAAGAAAGAGAAGCCAGGGAUAUGAAGAAAGCUGUAAAGAGGUCAAGAAGAGAUGAAGCAAAGAGACAGAAGAAGGCUGCAGAUAAAGCUGCAAGUAUUUCUACUAGUUCUGCCCCAUCUAGGGGACCCACUCCAGACCCGAAUCAUGUUGACAUACCUCUGAUUCUGGAGGGUGAAAUUGUGAUCCCCCUUACCACCAUAGGGGUCAACGUUGUUGUAGGUGAGGCCAAAGAAGCUUCACCAUAUUUGACUGAUGCCUCAUCUAAAUAAGAGGCUUUACAAGUAUUUUCCUCCCUUGUAUUUUACUUUUAUGCAUUGACGAUAAUGCAUAUAUUUUUAAUGGGGGUGGGUAUACUUGUACCACGAGGUUUUUUGUUCCUGCGUUCUUUUUCUCCCGUGUGCUAUCUAGUAGAACCAACAUAUCUAGGUUGCAUUUUAUUUUUGUAAGUAGUUGUGAUGUAAAUAUCUAUUGUUAAUGUUAUUUAUGAAGUGUCUUUCCUUUA